AGAAGAAGAAUAACACAAGAAAGACUCAAACAAGUUCUUGGAACUUUGUCCAAAGACUCUAUUUCCUCCCACCUCUAGAAAUCUUUUGGGAACUAAAUGGAAAUAGUCUUGGGAUUGAUCAAGCCUUUUCACUUUUCUGCAUGAGAUUUCAAAAAGAAGAAAAGUCAUAUAUAUAGCACUCUUAGGGUUGAAAAAAGGUUACAAGGAUGAGAAAAAACUAACUCUCUUACACUUAACCUCUUAAGUUUAUAAAGUUACAAAGAUGAGAAGACUCAUUGUCUUCCUCAACCUCUUCAUCUUUGUAACAUUCAAAAUUAAAUCAUAUGUUUAAUUCACACAUUAAACAUGAUUUAAUCUCAAAUGUGUAACUCUCUUACACUUAACCUCUUAAGUUUAUAAAGUUACAAAGAUGAGAAGACUCAUUGUCUUCCUCAACCUUUCAAGUUUUGUAACAUUUCAAAACUUAAUCAUGUGUUUAAUUCACACAUUAAAAGUGUAACCCUUCUUACACUUUAUUUUCCAAAAGUUAUUUUCAAAAGUGUAACUCUUCUUACACUUUAUUUUUUAACCAACAAUAUAUAUAUAUAUAUAUAUUUAUAUAAAUAUAACAAUCCCCCACUUGGUUAAAAAUAAACAUAAACCCUUAUAACCUUAAUAGUGAAAAUGCAUAAAAUAAAAUAUCUUUCGAUUUGAAUUUUACCUUAGUGUAAUUGUCACAAAGCUCCGUUGAAAUCCUAGGUUGCUUGUAGCAUUGAACCAGUUAUUCCUUGUAACGAAACCGGUAACAACACACACACUUCCACUAACCACACGAGUGCCCAUUAUUUUCUUGCUUAACACUUUUAUGGCCAUGUGCUCAAUCCAUUCAUGAACUUUCUUGAAAGAAACUCCAACUCUCAUGAGAGGCGGCACCACCCCUAAGUUUACAUAGGUGAAAUUCUUCCAGCAUCCUUGUUACCUUUAAGAUGCUUGUCACAUAUAGACUGAAUUUCAUUAAAAGCUUUAAGCUUAACCCUCCACCGGUAACAACCAGCACUAAUCAUCACAGAUGGAACUCAUAUGUUCUAAUGCUGCCACAACCCACUUAUCAAUGACUUGUUUUUACCCAUUGAACUUAAGACUAGUCAUUUCGUAGUAUUAAGUUGGGUUACCAUCAUUGGUGAGUUUUAUUUAAGGAGUUUUAGUCUCAUCCCUCUAGAUGUUAUCCUUACUAAAUCUCUUGUAAGAGGUUUAGUAAAAGGAUCCGCCAAGUUUCCACUUGACCUCACAAAUGAAAUUGAGAUGAUUCCAUUUUGAAUCAAUUGUCUUACAUACUCAUGUCUAAUGCUUAUAUGUCUAGACUUCCCAUUGUACACUCCACUGUACGCACGAGCUAGAGUGGCUUGACUGUCACAAUGUAUCGACACUAUUGACACAUUAUUUGCAGUAAAAGGGAUGUCCAUCAUGAGAUCCCUAAGCCACUCAGCUUCUUUUCCAGUUGCAGCUAGAGCUAUAAACUCUGCCUCCAUGGUUGAGUGUGAUAUACAAGUUUGUUUCUUGGAUCCCCAAGAGACAGCCCCACCACCAAGUGUAAACACCCAACCUGUGGUAGAUAAAUUAUCUCCCACACUCGAUAUCCAGCUUGCAUCUGAAUACCCUUCAAUUAUAGCAGGAAACUUUGAAUAUUGGAGGCUUAGUUCUUUGGUAUUCUUUAGGUAACCAAGAACUCUACCAAUAGCUUUCCAAUGUUCCACGCUUAGAUUGCUAGUAAACCUACUUAGUUUACUAACUGCAAAUGAAAUGUCAGCCCUAGUACACUGAGCAGCAUACAUAAGACUUCCAAUUGCACUUGCAUACUCAAGUUGAGCCACUGAUCUACCAUCAUUCUUUUCAAGUUUUAUACUUGAAUCAAAUAGAGUAUUAGCAUCUUUAAUCUUGAGAUGACUAAAUUUGCUAACUACUUUCUCAAUAUAGUGGGUUUGGUUCAAAGCAUAACCCCCACUAUUUCUUUUCACUUUGAUACCCAAUAUAGUAUCAACUUCUCCAAGAUCUUUCAUCUUGAAGGUUGAGGAUAGAAACCUUUUCGUUUCUAUUAUUCCUCUCAUGUCAUCACUCAAGAUUAACAUGUCAUCCACAUAUAGACACACUAUGACCAUAUAGUCAUCACAAGUCUUAGAAUAUAAGCACUUGUCCACAUUGUUGUGUUUAAAUCCAUCCAAAAGAAUAGCAUGAUCAAAUUUUUCGUGCCAUUGUUUGGGAGCUUGUUUUAAACCAUAUAAUGAUUUGACAAGCUUACACACUUUGUUUUCAUUCCCCAGUAGAACAAAACCUUCCGGUUGUUCCAUGUAGACCUCCUCAUUGAGAUCCCCAUUCAAGAAUGCCGUUUUGACAUCCAUUUGAUGAACAAAUAGAUUAUGAAUUGAUGCCAAAGCAAACAAUAUCCUAAUCGAUGUUGUUCUAGCCACCGGCGCAUAGGUAUCAAAAUAAUCAAUACCUUCUCUUUGUUUAAACCCCUUAGCUACUAAUCUAGCCUUAAAGGUUUGAAUCAUGCCAUCGGUGUGAUAUUUCCUUCGAAAUACCCACUUGCACCCUAUUGGUUUAGAUCCUGGUGGAAGGUCUACCAAUUCCCAUGUUUGGUUGGACAUAAUUGAAUCCAUUUAAUCAUUGAUAGCCUCUUUCCAAAAAGCAACAUCUCUAGAAGCCAUAAUUUCUUUGUAUGUUUUGGGAUCCUCCUCUAUUUGAAGUACUAUAGGAAUUUUUCUUAUAAUAUCUUCUCUAUUUCCUUCUACUAAGUAAAAGGAAAUUCUUUGAGAGUCAAUCUCAUCCGAUCCCAACACUUUCUCUUUUCUAGCUCUUUGGCUUUUCCGAGGCACAAUGGGUUGCUCAACAACCUUUGAAGGUGUCUCCUCUUGAGACUCUCCAACACUAGUAGGUACUUGAGAAUUGCUAUCACUCAACAAAUUCUCAAAGAACUCUACCUCUCUUGAUUCAAUUAUCACAUUAGACUCCAAGUCUAAUAGCCUAUAAGCUUUGCUAUUUGAGGCAUAGCCUACAAAUGCACACUUAAUGGCUCUUGGACCCAAAUUUGUUUUAUUUGGAUCCGUUUUCUUGCAAUAAGCAAGACACCCCCACACUUUGAAGUAACCUAUAUUAGGCUUCCUUCCUUUCCAUAACUCAUAUGGAGAUAUCUCAUUUUUCUUCAUAGGAAUUCUAUUCAAAAUAUAGCAAGCAGUCAACAAAGCUUCACCCCACAAAUUGAAAUUCAAUUUAGCAUGCAAUAACAUAGCAUUCACCAUUUCCAAAAAUGUUCUAUUCUUUCUCUCCGCUAUGCCAUUGUGUUGAGGUGUAUAGGGUGCGGUGCACUCAUGUAUUAUGUCAUAUUCUUCACAAAAAGAAUUGAAUUCACUAGAGAAAUAUUCACCACCUCUAUCACUUCUAAACACCUUAAUAUUUUUUCCUAGUUGAUUUUCAACUUCGGCUUUGUAAACUUUAAAGGCAUUGAAAGUUUCACUUUUGUUUUUCAACAAAAACACAUAGGUAAAUCUAGAACAAUCAUCUAUGAAUGUAAGAAAAUACCUAUUUCCACCUCUUGUUAACAUGCCAUUAAGUUCACAAAGAUCACUAUGUAUUAAAUCAAGCAAAUUAGAUGAUCUCUCAACACUAUGAAAAGGCUUUUUAAUCAUCUUUGAUUUAACACAUAUUUCACACUUUUCAAAUUUCUUGGUAUCACAAGCAAUCAAACCACAUUUCACAAUCCUUUUAAUAGUGCUUAAACCAACAUGUGCAAGCCUAUUAUGCCACAAAAUUAAAGAAUUUGAAUCACACAUAUAAGCGGAAGUAGACGUCAUUUUAUUGAUAUUGUCAUUGGUACUAAGUUUGAUCAUCCCAUCACAAGAAUACCCCUUUCCCACAAAGUUCCCCGAUUUGGUUAAAAUUAGCUUACCGGAUUCAAACACCGCUUUGAUACCCGGUUUGCCAAGCAAAUCCCCACUAACCAAAUUUUUAUUCAUAUCGGGGACAUACAAUACAUUUUUAAGGGUAACCUUUUUGCCGGAGGUAAAAACAACUUCAAUAGUGCCCUUGCCAAGCACCUUGGAUUUUCCUUCAUUGCCCAUUUGAACCUCUUGAUCUCCCUUUGCAUCUUCAAAGGUCUUGAAAAGAGAUUUGUCAUAGGUAACAUGAACUGUGGCACAAGUAUCAUACCACCAUCCUUGCACCUUUCCUUGGACAACGCACACAUCGCUUAGUGUUGCAAUGAUCUCCUCAUCAAUUGCAUUCACCACAGCCCCUUUUUGGUCCUUUCGGAACCUACACUCCCUAGCAUAAUGCCCGGGUUUUCCACAUACAAAACUAGGACUUUUCUUGCCCUUAAAUUGCUCUUGAUUUUUCUUGGGGCUCAUAUAAUUUCCGGAAUUCUUUUUGUUGUUGUUAUUUUUACCUCUAGGAUGAUUGGCCUUUGAAAUCGCAUUGGCUUUGUUAGUCCCACCAUUGGACUCUUCCACCAUUUUGUCUCUUGAUCUCGAUUCUUCCUCAAUGCGAAGAUGUUUUUGAAUCUCUUCCAAGGAGUAAUCUUCACUCUUGUGGAGAAUCCUCUUCCGGUAACCUUUCCAACUUGACGGUAAUUUAGCCACAAUAGCACCAACUUGGAAGGCCUCCGGAAGUUCAAUUUUGAGAACUUUCAACUUAUUCACAAUUACUUGUAACUCAUGAAUUUGUGGUAAGAGAGGUUUUUCAUCAAAAAAUUUGAAAUCUAUGUAUUGAGAAAUAAGAAACUUUUUGGUACCUUCUUCCUCGGCUUUGUACUUGUUUUCAAGAGCCUCCCAAAUCUCCCUCGCGGAAUUGGUGUUGGUGUAGAGAUCAUAUAGCCUAUCAGAUAAGGCGUUCAAAAUAUGACCCCUACAUAUGAGCUCAUCCUCCUCCCUCUUCUUCCUUGCUGCCACCACUUGAGGUGUGUCAUUUUCCUUUGGUUCCGGUAAUGGUGCUAAGGUAAGAUCAAGGAUGUAGAAAAUCUUGAGUGCUGUGAGAAGGAAUCUCACCUUGUCUUGCCACCUAGUGAAGUUGGAACCAUCAAAACGAUCCAACCUCACAAGGUCUUGGUUCAUAAUCUUGAUAGUCUCUCCCUCCAUUGAGAAUAGAGUCUUUGAUUGUUGAAAAAAUUUGGAUACAAUGGAGAAAGGAAACACUCUCACACACUCACUUUGAUACAAUAAAACUCUCUUAGAUACAAAAUAAGAACAAGAAAAAGAAUAACACAAGAAAGACUCAAACAAGUUCUUGGAACUUUGUCCAAAGACUCUAUUUCCUCCCACCUCUAGAAAUCUUUUGGGAACUAAAUGGAAAUAGUAUUGGGAUUGAUCAAGCCUUUUCACUUUUCUGCAUGAGAUUUCAAAAAGAAGAAAAGUCAUAUAUAUAGCACUCUUAGGGUUGAAAAAAGGUUACAAGGAUGAGAAAAAACUCAUUGUCUUCCUCAAUCUCUUCAUCUUUGUAACAUUCAAAAUUAAAUCAUAUGUUUAAUUCACACAUUAAACAUGAUUUAAUCUCAAAUGUGUAACUCUCUUACACUUAACCUCUUAAGUUUAUAAAGUUACAAAGAUGAGAAGACUCAUUGUCUUCCUCAACCUCUUCAUCUUUGUAACAUUCAAAAUUAAAUCAUAUGUUUAAUUCACACAUUAAACAUGAUUUAAUCUCAAAUGUGUAACUCUCUUACACUUAACCUCUUAAGUUUAUAAAGUUACAAAGAUGAGAAGACUCAUUGUCUUCCUCAACCUUUCAAGUUUUGUAACAUUUCAAAACUUAAUCAUGUG
rnacentral:lncRNA from 1 species